AAAAUGCGAUACGUAAUGUGAAUUGCAGAACUCAGUGAAUCAUCAAAAUUUUGAACGCAAAUUGCGCUAGUAGUAAUACUAGCACACUUGUUUGAGUGUUGUUUAAUAAAAAUACAUUUAUUAAAUGGAAAUUAAUAAUCCUACGUUCUGUGAUUAUUUAAAUAUUUAUUAUCAAUAUAAUUUUAAACUCUUAACAUUAUACUGUAUAAAAUCUUUAAUAUUUGAUUAUCAACCUCAAAUCAAGUGAGACUACCCGCUGAAUUUAA
rnacentral:misc_RNA from 1 species